CUGGCAUACUGAGUUGAAAGACUUCCACAAAGCCAGGCAACAGGUUACCACUUUAGCAAUGCUACUGGAUUGAUAGAUUCAAAAACAUCUGUUGAACAUUGGCAUGUACAAUGUGCCACCCGAUGAUACGGAGAGGAACAAAGACAUAUAAGAAAAAGGAUUCUCUCCUCAAAAAGACUACAUUGUAAUGGAGGCCUAGGUGCACACGGAAAUCACUGUAAUAAAAGGCCAUUAACCAGAAGUAAUCACAGGACGCCAAUCUACCUGAAGGGAAGCUGGGAAAGACAGAGCAGCAAUGGACUAUUUGGAAGUCUGGAAUCUCAUGGUGCCCAGCUUCUGUACUUGCUAGAAAGUAGCAAAGCACAGGCUACCAAAAAGAUUGUCCAGAUGCCAGAACCGUAUCAGAACACAAGGUCACUUACAGCUGCUGUCUUCCCCUGUUUAUAUCAGCCCAGAGGACAAUCCAUUCUCUUUCCUUUGAGGACACAGUAAAGGCUAACUGUUGGAAGUCCCAGGCCUUUGAUUCUUUAAGAGCACAGAUCCUGAAGUGGCUGUGAUACCAGCAAAUGGUAUGUUUGCAUACCAAUUAACAAUCUCCAAAAAUUUAAUAGUUCCUGAUAUUCUGAUCAUUUAAAAAUGUAUUACUUUGGAGAUUUCUGUUAAGUAUUGGUGCUGAAAUUUUGUUCUAAACAUGCUGGGUCAUAUAAUCUUUCAGAUUACUUUCCCAAAUAUCUCAGGCAACUCUGAAAACCACUGUAAAAUAAAUGUCAGAGGGUUUUCUUUUUGAAGAACAAAAUUACAAUAAUAACAAUAACCUGUUCUAAUCUAAAUGACAGCAGUCUCUGAGCAUCAGGCUGCUCAUUUUAUCACUGGCUGGCCACAUUUACAUGAGUUUUUGUCAGAAAUCUUUUCAUAACCAGACAUUAGGCCCAAUUUUGGGUGACUUGAAAGACAGGUUGGCUUGGGAUGAAGCAUGCUAAAGUUAGUAGUGAAGUUUUAUCAGGGUUUCUUAGUCCAUAUUAUUCCUCAACUGCCACAAGUACAAGUCUGAAGUAAAAAUAAACAACUUCUACUUUAGGGCAAAGUACCUCCUAUAAAUUCAUUCAUUUAGUCUAUAUUCAAAGAAAAUUUAUAUUCAUUGUACUGAACAAGACAUUAUUGCUGCCUUAUAAUAGAUAAUUUAAUGAAGGCUAUUUCUACACUAGACUGUAUGCUCCAAGGUCAGGUUUUGGUCUGUUUCAAUUACCAAUUGAUACCCCAGAAUAGCAGUGUGUCUCAAAGUAGGUGCAGUGUGUCUCAAAGUAGGUGCUCAGUAAAUACUGGUUGAAUGUAUAAAUGUAUGAACAGAUGUGUACGUGAUGUUACUCUUUGAAUAUAACUGUGUAUUACAUUCUUUGACAAUCACAUUGUUUAUUGAUUAAAAUUGUAUAAACAUCAGUAUCAGCCAUCAAGAACUCAGAUUUUAGUAGGGCCCAUGGAAACAGUUUAUUUUAAUUUUUACUUCUUGUAAUUGGUCUGUUGCCUUGAAAGUUAAUAAAUAGCACUGGCUGGGGAAAAGGAAGAAUGCAAGAAAGUGGGAUAUUUAAAGCAUCAUCCUGAAAUUGUAUUUAGAGGUUUUAUUUCAAAUGGGCUAUUGUGAAGAUAAGUACAGAGUGUGUGUGUAUUUUUUUUUCUUGGCAAAUGCUAAUUUGAAGAUUGGAAGAAAGGCUAGGUUGUAUCAUUUGAGAUAUCCUUUAUCCUAUUUUUUUUCCUCUUUAUCCUAAGUUUUUCCAUUUCUUUUUUUAGACAUAAGAUAACAUAGUUGCCAACUAUAGUAUUAUAAGACAUAAAUAGAAAGAUAAAGAUCUUAGGAAUAUGCAAAUUCAAGUAUUGUUGGAUUCUAAACACUAUCUUUGUGGCCUCAGUUAAGUUUAUUUUUAUUUUUUUAAAGAUUUUAUUUAUUUAUUCAUGAGAGACAGAGAGAGAAGCAGAGACAUAGAGAGAGGGAGAAACGGGCUCCUCAUAGGGAGCCUGAUGCAGGACUCGAUCCCCAAACCCAAGAUCACUCCCUGAGCCAAAGGCAGAUGCUCAACUGCUUAGCCACCCAGGUGUCCCAGCCUCCACUAAGUUUAGACUUAACUUUUUCAUCUGUAAAAUAGAGGGAGUUGAGUUAAAUUAUUUCUAACACAUCCUCCAGUUUGAAUUUUCUGUGAUUUCAUCUGACAAACUCCCCUUUGUCAUUCUUGUUGUAUGUGGAAUGCUCAAUUUUUUUCCAGUUUUUUUUUUUUACAUCACUUACCACAGAUGCUUAAAAUAAAAUAGCUCUCCAUAUAGAAUGUCUGCCCUUCUUUCCCCCAUGUAGUCAUGGCACCACUUAAAAAAUUAUAUGACCCAGCAAUUGUACUGUUGGGGAUUUACCCCAAAGAUACAGAUGCAAUGAAACACCGGGACACCUGCACCCCGAUGCUUCUAGCAGCAAUGUCCACA